rnacentral:rRNA from 1 species
ACUACGGGUGGCUGCAGUGAGGAAUAUUGGUCAAUGGCCGAGAGGCUGAACCAGCCAAGUCGCGUGAGGGAAGAAUGUCCUAUGGAUUGUAAACCUCUUUUGGCAGGGAGCAAAGGCACCCACGUGUGGGUGUUGGAGAGUACCUGAAGAAAAAGCAUCGGCGAACUCCGUGCCAGCAGCCGCGGUAAUACGGGGGAUGCGAGUGGUAUCCGGAUUUAUUGGGUGUAAAGGGUGCGUAGGCGGGUUAUCAAGUCAGCGGUAAAAUUGUGGAGCUCAAAUCCAUCCAGCCGUUGAAACUGAUGAUCUUGAGUGGGCGAGAAGUAUGCGGAAUGCGUGGUGUAGCGGUGAAAUGCAUAGAUAUCACGCAGAACUCCGAUUGCGAAGGCAGCAUACCGGCGCCCGACUGACGCUGAAGCACGAAAGCGUGGGUAUCGAACAGGAUUAGAUACCCUGGUAGUC